rnacentral:lncRNA from 1 species
AGCCCAAAUCCAUAUAUUAUUUCAAUUUGUCCAAAUACUUGAAUGUUCAGCUUACAAUCAGAUCAAAUUUGCUAUACUUAUUUUGUGAAGAAACACGUAUCAUGUGAUUCAACACAUAUCUCUCACCUUUCCACCCAGCUACUUCACCCAAACCGACUCAAACGAUUAUAAAUAUGGUGAGUUACGGUAAAUCUCAUUUUCUUCCCAUCCUGAAAUUUCUAAAUAACACAGCAGAGAUUCAUCCAAAUAUAGUUCAUCCCCAGCAGUUAUCACAGCAACAAGCAGGUAGUAUUCUUCUUACAACUCAGUAAUCACUCAUAGAUAGUAAUCAAAAAUAGCAGAGAUAAUAUCAAUUUCCUUUAACAUCUACAGAAUACAUCUAGUUACGACAGUUUAUAAAUCAAUAAUAAUCCAAAUAGAAGGCUGAGUCUUAUAAAAAGAGAGUCUUGGGCUGUAGAUGAACUGCCACGAUGAAACCAUCUCGAAUCACCCAUUCCUGGAACAGAAAAUAGUUUUGAGAUUUAUUAGUUUAUGACGUUAAAACUGAAAUAGAAAUUAGAUUGGAAGUUUGCUGGAAUGAGAUUUUGAAUUGGGAAAUAGAGAAGAGGGAAGGAAGAAGGAGAAGGGGGGAUUAGCAGUAGCAGCCGCAGCCGCGAGCCACCAUAGCGGAGGCAUGGCUGGCGGUGGUGGCCGCCGGCGCUGCCCGCGCCACGGCGGCCGCGGUGACUGCCGACAGUCGAAAGAAAGAGGGAGAUUGAGUGAGAGAUAGUGAGAUAGAGGGAGAAAGACGAAGUAGGAGCGGCGAUGCGUAGUGACCACCGCGAGCGAGAGACAGAGAGAGAGAUCGAGAGGCAGAGAGAAGUUGAGAGAGAGAGAUCGAGAGGCAGAGCAGAGAGAGAGGGAGCAUACCUGAGGCAGGGGUGGCGGUGCGACGGAGACGACGACGGGCCUUGCCGGAGGGGCGGAUUUCAGAAGGGAAAAUGGAGGCAGAAAACCCUAGAAUUUGGGGAUUUUAGAUUGAAGGGAAGAAAUAGGAAAGAGAGGGGAAGGAGAGGAGGGGGAAGAAGGGGUGCCGACCUCGCCACGCUGGAGGCGACGAGGAUCGGCCACGCUCGCCGGACGAGAGAGAGAGAGAGACGGACGGCGAGAGAACGGAGAGAGAGAGACGCAGGUGAGAAGAAAAGAAGAGAAAAGAGGAAGAGGAACUAUUUCGUUCCCAAUUA